AUUGAACGCUGGCGGAAUGCUUUACACAUGCAAGUCGAACGGCAGCACGGGAGCUUGCUCCUGGUGGCGAGUGGCGAACGGGUGAGUAAUAUAUCGGAACGUAUCCAAUAAUGGGGGAUAACUAGUCGAAAGAUUAGCUAAUACCGCAUACGCCCUGAGGGGGAAAGCUGGGGAUCUUCGGACCUGGCGUUAAUGGAGCGGCCGAUAUCUGAUUAGCUAGUAGGUGAGGUAAAAGCUCACCUAGGCGACGAUCAGUAGCUGGUCUGAGAGGACGACCAGCCGCACUGGAACUGAGACACGGUCCAGACUCCUACGGGAGGCAGCAGUGGGGAAUUUUGGACAAUGGGCGCAAGCCUGAUCCAGCCAUUCCGCGUGAGUGAAGAAGGCCUUCGGGUUGUAAAGCUCUUUCGCAAGGGAAGAAAACUUAUCCUCUAACAUAGGAUGAGGUUGACGGUACCUUGAUAAGAAGCACCGGCUAACUACGUGCCAGCAGCCGCGGUAA
rnacentral:rRNA from 1 species